CACGUAGGGUGCGAGCGUUGUCCGGAAUUAUUGGGCGUAAAGAGCUCGUAGGCGGUGUGUCGCGUCGGCCGUGAAAACCUGCAGCUUAACUGUGGGCUUGCGGUCGAUACGGGCAUCACUGGAGUUCGGCAGGGGAGACUGGAAUUCCUGGUGUAGCGGUGAAAUGCGCAGAUAUCAGGAGGAACACCGGUGGCGAAGGCGGGGUCUCU
rnacentral:rRNA from 1 species